AGUCGAACGAAGAGUUUUCGUUCGAAAGUGGCGAACGGGUGAGUAACACGUAGAUACCUGCCCUGGAGUGGGGGAUAACCAUUGGAAACGAUGGCUAAUACCGCAUGAACUACGGGAGAGAAACUCUGUGCUACAGGAGGGGUCUGCGUCCGAUUAGCUAGUUGGUGGGGUAAAGGCCUACCAAGGCGACGAUCGGUAGUGGUCUGAAGGACGAUCAGCCACACGGGAACUGAGACACGGUCCCGACUCCUACGGGGGGCAGCAGUGAGGAAUAUUGGGCAAUGGGCGAAAGCCUGACCCAGCAACGCCGCGUGGAGGAAGACGGCCCUUGGGUUGUAAACUCCUUUUGACGGGGAAGAGAAGGACGGUACCCGUCGAAUAAGUCACGGCUAACUACGUGCCAGCAGCCGCGGUAAUACGUAGGUGACAAGCGUUAUCCGGAUUUACUGGGCGUAAAGCGCACGCAGGCGGCUGAUUAAGUCUGACGUGAAAUCUCUGGCUUAACUGGGAGGGGUCGUUGGAAACUGGUUGGCUUGAGGUGGUGAGAGGGGUGUGGAAUUCCCGGUGUAGUGGUGGAAUGCGUAGAUAUCGGGAGGAACACCAGUGGCGAAAGCGGCACCCUGGCACUGACCUGACGCUCAUGUGCGAAAGCGUGGGGAGCAAACGGGAUUAGAUACCCCGGUAGUCCACGCGGUAAACGAUGAGUACUAGGUGUGGGUGGAGUAAACUACCGUGCCGAAGCAAACGCGCUAAGUACUCCGCCUGGGGAGUACGGCCGCAAGGCUAAAACUCAAAGGAAUUGACGGGGACCCGCACAAGCAGCGGAGCGUGUGGUUUAAUUCGAUGCUACACGAAGAACCUUACCAGGGUUUGACAUGAAGUGUAGUGAUCUGAAAAGUGAACGCCUUCGGGAGCUUGCACAGGUGCUGCAUGGCUGUCGUCAGCUCGUGUCGUGAGAUGUUCGGUUAAGUCCGCUAACGAGCGCAACCCUCGCUGUGUGUUAUAUUGUCACACGGGACUGCCGGUUUUAAGCCGGAGGAAGGCGGGGAUGACGUCAAGUCAGCAUGGCCUUUAUAUCCUGGGCUACACACACGCUACAAUGGUCUGUACAAUUGGUUGCCAAGCCGCGAGGCGGAGCCAAUCCUAAAGCAGGCCUCAGUUCAGAUUGCAGGCUGCAACUCGCCUGCAUGAAGAUGGAGUUGCUAGUAACCGCAGGUCAGUAUACUGCGGUGAAUACGUUCCCGGGUCUUGUACACACCGCCCGUCACGUCAUGGGAGCUGGCAACACCUGAAGCCGGUAUCCUAACCCAAGGAGGGAGCCGUCGAAGGUGGGGUCGGUGACUGGGACGAAGUCGUAACAAGGUAGGUGUACCGGAAGGUGCGGCUGGAUCACCU
rnacentral:rRNA from 1 species